CCAGGAUUGUGGUUUGGCUACGAGUUUUGUAAUGGAUUUUCGCCAUGGGAAUCGAAUCUAAAAGUUGGGUUCUCUACAAGCAAGGAAAGAGGCUAAUCUGAGUGAGUUACACAGAGAAACUCAAGCGCACUUUUGGGAAACAAUUUAUAUAUAUGCAUCUAGCAAAGCAAGAGCUGACACGGGAAAAACAGUGAAAGGAAAAUUCGUGAAAGCUGGCGACAACUAUGAAUAUGACCCAUCACCAUCACUAACGACGAAUCAUUGAGUUUUUUGUUUUCCCUAAAACAGUUUCUUGUCGGAAAAGUUAGACAACCUCUUUAAGUUUCUGUUUACAGUUUUUUUUUCUUUUAAUUGGAUAGAGGAAGAUCAACAUCUUGCGGCAUGGAACGCUGGAGAACUGCUCGAAGAAUCUUAGAAGUAAUAAAAGUGAAGAAAUAGGGGUGGAAAGACAUGGUGAAAUAACUUUGCUUCCUUUUUUACAUUUUACAAAUAUUAUUUCUAGCGAACGAUUCCUUUCAUAAAUAAAGUAACAGUGGUUACAAUAUUUCUUCAUUCUGUCUUUCUCCAUAAGUUGUAAGUUGUAAGUUGUAACAGAGGGUGACGAUUAACGUGUCUUAUGAUUAUUAAAGAAACUGAUUCUUCCUGGUUUGUAAGUUGUAACAAGAAAUUUCCAGUCUUUUGCCCAUAAUAUUUUCGGACCAAAGAUCGCUGAACAAGUUAAAGUAUCCGUCUCUGUCUUACUAUAGAAUAAUUAUAUUUCCUAAAUUUAUUUGACUAGUGAGUUAUUUUUGCCUAUACACUCAUAACAUUUAGCAUUGCAUGAAGAUGUUCAACAUAUGUGAAAAGUUUAGAAGUAAUUCUGAUAUAAAAUUAACAAAAAUGGUGUUGGAGCCCGGUUUCACCCAGCUCCAGACCUGGUCUGAGAUCCUGACCUGAAAGCGAUGAAGUCCAAAUAUAGUCACUAAUGAAGCCCAAGGAAAGAAUAUAGGUCUACCAAGGUUAAAUCCCACCUCGGGCUUAAGAAGUAAAAUAUGUCAACCGAAACGUAAAGGAGUCAAGAGUAUAGAAGAUCAUCAUUAAAGUGCCUAACCAAAAAUAUACAUUUUCCAAAGCUAAUCAUAGCUUAAUCUUUCUAUUUCGAGUUUGCUUGUUAGUCAAGUUUCUAUUUCCAAAAACUCUAUUUCUCAGUGUACUUUAGAAUUCAUCAAAUGAUAUGUAAGAAAGACAAAAAAGUGCAAAAAGUGGUUUCACCGUUUUGUCGAUAAUCUAAACAAUAUAAAUAGUAUUUUCCUAACGAUAACUGAAUCCGAGUGGCAGAAUGCCUAUUAGACACUGUUUUAAUAGCUCGCUGGCAAAAGGAUGGUUUCACCUAUUUGGAGAGAAUCUAAACAAUAUAAAUAGUUCAUUCCGACAAAAAUUGAACCCGAAAGUUCGUGAAAAUAAUCAACGAAAAGCCAGCAGAAAAUCUCUAUUAUUCCCUUGUACCCAGUGGCGGAGGUAGAAACAAAACUCAAUGGAAUCAAAAUCAUAUGUGAAAAAAGUUAUUAGAGAUUUCACAAUAAACAAGGGGGGUCAAACCCUUGAACCAACUGAGCCCCCUAAUCCUUCAUUGCCUCCGCCACUGCUUAUGCCUGAAGACUGCACCGUUUGAUUGAGUCUUGCUUGGAUUUUGAAUUUGGUGGUCUGAUUUAGUAUUAUUUCCUUUCAGUUUCAAACAUAUUGAAGAGUUGAAUAUAAUUUAAACCUUCUUCCUUUACUUUCAGUUGCAGAGACGUUUUCGUUUUUGCUAUAUAUAAACACAUUUCUUAGAGUUCUAGUAAUGAGCUUCAUAAUUUUUUUUUUUUAGCUUCACAAAUUACAUUUUGUUAAAUGUGUUUAGAUUAUAAAACCGAAGUGAUGAACAUAUGUAAACUAUGCCAUAAAAGUAUUAUGAUAAUACUUUUUGUAGUUUUGAUAUAUAUAUAUCAUGUAAUUUUGCAUUUUUGUAAAGUUCAGUCAAUUAUAUUUUUUUUGAACAAAAAUUCUUUUUUUUGGCAACAUUUUCAUUAGCUUAAAAAACAGAGUACAAUGGUCAGUUACUGAGCCAUGAUAUUACAUAUUGCUGGUCCAUUAAUUUGGCUCUUUUUGCUAACAUAUCAACAUAAUGUACAAGAUUUCUAGGAACUUUCUCAAAAGACAUUUUUUAGAGCUUCGAAAGGUUAACGAUGUCUAGAACCAUUAUUGAGGCUUCAUUGCAGAAGUGGUUGCAAUCCUUUAAGCUCUUGUGAAGUUGCGCAUUGUCUCCUACAAACAUUACAUUAGCAUAUCGUAGCCGGUGCAGUUGUUGAACCGCUAGCAAGGUUGCCGUUGCCUCAGCUUCAAGCGAUGAGUUUGUUGGAGCGAUUGCAGAGAUUCCCUGGAUAAUAAGGGUGCCUUGUCGACUAUAUAAGGACCACCCUAUACCAGCUCUUUCAUGAGGGGACUUCCAAGAAGCAUCUACAAUAUAGUAUUAGCAUGGUUCUCGAGUGGAAUAUCUUCAACGGAAUGACAAUGAGUUGCUGGACUAUCCGAUGCAACAGGUUCAUUAAACUGCAAGGCUUCCUUCCAUAGAUUAAAAUCCAUAAUGGCUGCUUUGAUGACCUGUACGAUAUGAACUCUAAUGUUUUCGAAUAGUAAUAUGUUCCGCAUUUUCCAUAUUAUUCAUCCUAGAAACAAAGCUAAAGAGCCAUGCCUUUCUCUUUUACCAUCCAUUACUAGGUGUUGCACUGACUGCAACAUAUCCAUAUUCAAACUGAAGCUCUGUGAAAGUUCAUGACAUGCUAAGUUCCAAAUCUCUCUGGAUACUCUACACUCGUAUAACAGAUGAGAUAAUGAUUAGUGACCUUCACCACAGAGCUGACAAUCCAUAUUUAUCCUACAUCUGCUUCUAACUAGGUUGGUUGCUACUUGCAAUCCAUUAUGGAGCACUUUCCACCAAAAGAUUUUAAGCUUAGGAGGUAUAUUUAGUGACCAUAAUUUUCUAAUAACUUGAUUGCGCAAUUGAGUAGAAGAGGGGGAUUGAACCUGAUCAUUAUGUGCAUCCUCGUCAUCCAUCUAUUUUUGAACGUGAUAACCGGACUUGACUGUGUACUUCCCGGUUUUGCUUAGCCUCCAAUAUAACAUGUCAUUGCUUCGUAUUAUGCUUGGAAGAAAAUGCAUUAUUCUUUGAACGUCCUCAUACUGAAAUAACUGUUGAACUAAUGGUUGAUUCCAGGGGGAUGAUCCUGCAAUAAAAUGAUCCUUUACUCGAAGAUUUGGAUGAAUAAACAUGCCAGGACCUGAAGGUGUGGCUUUAGAUCCUCCUAAUAACCAGUUAUCAUGCCAUACUCUUAUUUGAGUUCCUUUACCAACUGCCCAAUGCAUUCCUUUUUAGAAUGAUUGGCCUGGCCUGAAUGAUACUCUUCCAUGCUAGGCUUGAAGACGGGUAGCUUCUAGCUUCUAGAAAAUCAGUUUUCUGUAGUAUUUUGCCUUAUAGACUCGCGCCAAUAGAGAUGCAGGACAAGUGAUUAAUCUCCAUGCUUGUUUUGCUAAUAAGGAUUUAUUGAAAGCCAUCAUAUCUCUAAUCUCAAUUCCUCCAUCUCUCUUAGAAGCUGUUAUUUUGCUCCAAGCUAUCUAUGGAAUAGAAUGUUUAUCCUGAAAUGCAGACCACCAAAAUUUUCUCAUUGCUUUUGUAAUCUCCUGAAUCAACGUUUUUGGCAAUAAGAAACAUGACAUUGUGUAUGUUGGUAAGGCUGUGAUAACUGAUUUUAGCAGAAUCUCAUUACCAGCUGGAGAAAGGAGUUUAGAGUACCAGCUCUCUAGCUUAUUUUUAGUUCUUUGCACUAUGAAUUGGAAAGCCUCUUUCCUCUUUUUUCCUAUUUGUUCCGGCAAUAGUCCGAAACCAUCCACUUUAGUAAAAUAGAAACUCAAAAUCAAAAUAGUAAUAUUAACAAGAAUAUUAUGUUAGUUAUUUUGUAUAAGAAAUCGAAAGUACAUUUUAUGCAAAUCAAUGUUAAAAUAUUUAAAGUAACAAAAACAUCUAAAAAAAUUUACAAUGUAUAAAAACAAAAAAAAUUAUAAUAUCAUUUAAAUUACAGAAAUUAUUAAUGUAUAUACAAGUGAUUGUCAAACUUUUCAAAUAUUAUUAAAUAAUUUGUAAUAUAUAAAAGUUUAUGUUAUAAGCCAUAUAGAUUGUCUAAAUCAGAUUUAAAAUUAUUAAUCAGAACAUGUCAAAUUAUUACAAAAGUUCAUUUUUUCUAAAACGUCAAAAUUCCAAUUAGAGCCUAUACGUCAUUCAGGGUGUUCAAAUAAGAUUUAAAACAAUCAAUCAAAAUAUAAAAAAUCAUUAUUAUAAUUUAUAAUUUAUUAUUAUUUUUAAAAUGUUAAUAUUUCCAAAAGAAUAAAGAACAAAAUAACUAUAUUAUAUAUAAUUUAACUAAUAAAAUAAGUAUUAACAUUUGACAAGUUACUUUAAAAUACUAAAUUUUAUUACAAUAUAAAAAAUAAAAGAAAAAUAGUAAUAUUAACAAAGUAUUAUGUUAUCAAUUUUGUAGAAUAUAUCCAAAGUAUUUUUUAUGCCAAAAUAAAAUGGUAAAUUAAUGUUAAAAUAGUUAAAUUAACAAAAUAUUUAAAAUUUUAACAUUUAUAAAACAAGAAAUUUCCUAAUAUCAUUUAAACAAAAUAAAGUAUUAGUUUGAUUGUAAAUAAUUGUCAAAAUUUCAUAAUAUCAGUGAAUGAUUUAUUAUAUAUAAAAAAAUGAGGUUAUAGGCCUUAGAUUAUCUACAUCAGAUUUAACCCCACCAAUCGAAACAUGUCAAAUUAUUACAAUAGUAUUUUAUUUUCUAAAAUGUUAAAUUCCCAAAUAUCAAAAAAUUACAAAAUGUUUACUAUUUCAUAAAAUGUAAAAUUUUACAAAUGUUAAAUUAUUACGAAAAUCUUACUAUUUUUUUAGAUGUCAAAAUUUCUAGAAAGAAUUCUUUCAAAAUGAAAUAGAAUUCCAUAUAAUUUAGGUAAACUAAAAUAAGGAAACCGAAUUAAAAAUUAAAUUAAUAUAUAUAUAUAUAUAUAUAUAUAUAUAUAUAUACUAUGAUGCUGAUUUAAUAUAAAAAUAAAUAAUAUUUUAUAUUUUAAAAUUUGAAGCAAAAUAUAAUUUUUAGCAUAACUAUUUUAAGCAUAAAAAUAGAAAAAACUAAUAUGAA